UGGGGAAUAUUGCACAAUGGGGGAAACCCUGAUGCAGCGACGCCGCGUGAACGAAGAAGGUAUUCGUAUCGUAAAGUUCUGUCCUAUGGGAAGAUAAUGACAGUACCAUAGAAGAAAGCUCCGGCUAAAUACGUGCCAGCAGCCGCGGUAAUACGUAUGGAGCGAGCGUUGUCCGGAAUUAUUGGGCGUAAAGGGUACGCAGGCGGUUUAAUAAGUCGAAUGUUAAAGAUCGGGGCUCAACCCCGUAAAGCAUUGGAAACUGAUAAACUUGAGUAGUGGAGAGGAAAGUGGAAUUACUAGUGUAGUGGUGAAAUACGUAGAUAUUAGGAGGAAUACCAGUAGCGAAGGCGACUUUCUGGACACAAACUGACGCUGAGGUACGAAAGCGUGGGGAGCAAACAGG
rnacentral:rRNA from 1 species